rnacentral:rRNA from 1 species
UACGGAGGGAGCUAGCGUUGUUCGGAAUUACUGGGCGUAAAGCGCACGUAGGUGGCUUUGUAAGUUAGAGGUGAAAGCCCGGGGCUCAACUCCGGAACUGCCUUUAAGACUGCAUCGCUUGAAUCCAGGAGAGGUGAGUGGAAUUCCGAGUGUAGAGGUGAAAUUCGUAGAUAUUCGGAAGAACACCAGUGGCGAAGGCGGCUCACUGGACUGGUAUUGACGCUGAGGUGCGAAAGCGUGGGGAGCAAACAGG